CGUGGGAGCGAGCCUGCUCGCGAAAGCGUCGGAUCAGUCGAAAUAUGUAUCAACUGACAGAUUGCAUUCGCGAGCAGGCUCGCUCCCACA
rnacentral:antisense_RNA from 1 species